UACGUAGGGAGCAAGCGUUGUCCGGAAUCAUUGGGCGUAAAGCGCGCGUAGGUGGCUUCGUAAGUCCGUUGUGAAAGUCAAAGGCUCAACCUUUGAAAGCCGAUGGAUACUGCGGAGCUAGAGUACGGAAGAGGCGAGUGGAAUUCCUGGUGUAGCGGUGGAAUGCGCAGAUAUCAGGAGGAACACCGGUGGCGAAGGCGGAUCUCUGGGCCAUAACUGACGCUGAGGAGCGAAAGCAUGGGGAGCGAACAGG
rnacentral:rRNA from 1 species